GGGCCGGUAGUCUAGUCGGUUAGGAUAUCGCCUCGACACGGCGAUGAUCGAGAGUUCGAAUCUCUCUCGGCCCA
rnacentral:tRNA from 1 species